GUAAAGCUUUUGCGGUUUGGGAUGGGCCUGCGUCCUAUCAGGUAGUUGGUGAGGUAAAUGCUCACCAAGCCUAUGACGGGUAGCUGGUCUGAGAGGAUGGUCAGCCAGACUGGGACUGCGACACGGCCCAGACUCCUACGGGAGGCAGCAACUAGGAAUUGUGCGCAAUGGACGAAAGUCUGACGCCGCGACAUCGCGUGGAGGAUGAAGGUCUUCGGAUUGUAAACUCCUUUUCUUACCGAACAAGUUCUGAGUGUAGGUAAGGAAUAAGUGCCUGCUAACCACGUGCCAGAAGCAUCGGUAAUACGUGGGGCACGAGCGUUAUCCGGAUUUACUGGGCGUAAAGAGAAGCGUACGCGGCUCAAUAAGUUUGGUGUUAAAUCUUCCGGCUCAACCGGAAACAAGCACCGUAAACUAUCGAGAUUGAGUCGAGUAGGGAAGAGGGGAAAUUCCUGGUGGAGCGGUUAAAUGCGUAGAUAUCAGGAGGAAUACCAAGGGCGAAGGCACCUCUUUGGACUCGUACUGACGCUGAGGCUCGAAAGCGUGGGUAGCAAAACGGAUUAGAUACCCGUGUAGUCCACGCCGUAAACGAUCCCUGUUAGAUGU
rnacentral:rRNA from 1 species